AUGAGCCUAGAAUCCAAACGCAGAAAAGAUGAAAAUGGAACCAAUUCCUCCAACAAACACAGCAAGAGCGCCAGUCCCUCCUCAGACUCCCCAGUCUCGGCUGACAAAGAGAAGACCAAGAGGUCCAAGUCCUCCAGCAAGGAAAAGGGAGAGUCUACUAAACCUGAGAGAAACUCUUCCGGGGGCAAGAAGGAGUCUAGGCAUGACAAAGACAAACCUGACAAGAAGGAGAAGAGAGACAGCAGCGGCGGAAAGGAAGAGAAAAAACAAUAUCCUUAAAUGUUUUGAGUAAUGCUUUAGAACUGAAAUGAUGGAAUUCAUUUCUGGAGCCAUAGUAUUUGGUGUAAUUAUCAUUGUAUUACCUUGAGUACUGUAUAUAUUUCAAUUUCAUUUAUUCAAGGCAACGACCAGCACAAAAUAUUGUGUCUUUAAAGAAAUGGCUAUUAUCUCACAGGGGCAUGUUAUUUACCCAACUACCUUGUGCUAGAUUUCCUGUUGAUCUUUGUAGUAGGUAUCCAACAAGUGAAAUGAAGGAGAAGGUUUUCCUUAAUGGUGGUACUCAUAAGUCCUCCGACAAGCACAGAUAAUGUGUUCUAGGUCAGUCAGCGAAGGUAAGUAGUAAUGGAAUACUACACUGAACAAAAAUAUAAAUGCAACCAUUUAAAGAUUUUACUGAGUUACAGUUCAUAUGAGGAAAUCAGUCAAUUGAAAUAAAUUAAUUUGCCCCUAAUCUAUGGAUUUCACAUCACUGGGACUACAGAUAUGCAUCUGUUGGUCGCAGAUACCUUAACAAAACAAAAAAAGUAGGGGUGUGGAUCAGAAAACCAGUCAGUAUCUGGUGUGACCACCAUUUGCCUCACGUAUUUGGACAUCUCCUUCGCAUAGAGUUGAUCAGGCUGUUGAUUGUGGCCUGUGGAAUGUUGUCCCACUUGUCCCACUUCAAUGGCUGUGUGAAAUUGCUGGAUAUUGUCAGGAACUGGAACACGGUGUCAUACACAUCGAUCCAGAGCAUCCCAAACUUGCUCAAUGGGUGACAUGUCUGUUGAGUUUGCAGGUCAUGGAAGAAAUGGGACAUUUUCAGCUUCCAAGAAUUGUGUACAGAUCCUUGCGACAUGGGGCCUUGCAUUAUCAUGCUGAAACAUGAGGUGAUGGCAGUGGAUGAAUGGCACAACAAUGGGCCUCAGGAGCUCGUCACGGUAUCUCUCUGCAUUCAAUCCGCUCGCCUACACGACGCUGUCUGCCAGGUACAGUUGAAACCGGGAUUCAUCUGUGAAGAGCUCACUUCUCCAGCGUGCCAGUGGCCAUUUGAAGUUGAGCAUUUGUCCACUGAAGUGGGUUACGACACCAAACUGCAGUCAGGUCAAGACCCUGGUUAGGACGAAGAGCACGCUGAGAUGGUUUCUGACAGUUUGUGCAGAAAUUCUUUGGUUGUGCAAACCCACAGUUUCAUCAGUUGUCCAGGUGGCUGGUCUCGCUGAUCCUGCAGAUGAAGAAGCCUGAUGUGGAGGUCCUGGGCUGGUGUGGUCUGCGGCUGUGAGGCCGGCUGGGCGUACUGCCAAAUUCUCUAAAAGGACGUUAUGGUAGGGAAAUUAACAUUAAAUUCUCUGGCAACAGCUCUAGUGGACAUUCCUGCAGCCAGCAUGCCAAUUGCACACUCCCUCAAACUUGAGUUAUCUCUGGCAUUGUGUUGUGUGACACAACCUUACAUUUUAGUGUGGCCUUUUAUUGUCCCCAGCACAAGGUGCACUUGUGUAAUGAUCAUGCUGUUCAAUCAGCUUCUUGAUAUGCCACACCUGUCAGUUCGGUGGAUUAUCUGGGCAAAGGAAAAUACUCAUUAACAGGGAUGUAAACUAAUUUGUGCACAAAAAUUUGAGAGAAAUAAGCUUUUUGUGUGUAUGGAACAUUUCUGGGAUAUUUUAUUUCAUCUCAUGAAACAUGGUACCAACAAUUUACAUGUUGCGUUUAUAUUUUUGUUCAGUAUAAUUGAGAAAUUAAUUUACAUCAUCCCAAUUUAACAUAAUUACCUUUGACUUUCAAAUGUUUGUGUGAUUUGGUCAGUGUCUAAAACAUAUCUUAUUUCUUCCUCUCCUUCCUUUCCCAUCUGUGGGCUGCAGCAGACCUGGAGAAGCCGUGCUUUUAACCCAGACAGUCACCCUCCCUCAUCCUGUACCACGUUGUUAACUAGUGCUCUAUUUUCUCUGCCUUGUUCAUUCUGAGAGGAGGCCGCAUCUCAAAUGUUACUCUCAUUUCUGCCUGUGUUGUUUCCGUUGUAACUGCCCGCAAGACAUGUUAGUUGUAGUGUUUGGAACUUGCAGAUCUAUUCUUCUAUUUUUCAUUUCAGUGUGUUUCAGUAACCAGGUAUUUGUUUUAUUUUUAACUUUUGAAUAUUGGCACAAUGUGCUAUUCAAAUCACAAAAUGAUAUUCUACCCAGAAAGACAACUGGUAACUGUAUUAAACGCUCUCUUGAAAUCAACAGGUCAUACAUUCCAUAAUCACAAACGCUUGAUGAAAAAAUGCACCUGUUUUAUGUUGUCAGGUUCCUCCCCUACGGCUUGUUUUAUUGGCAUUAAUAGACACUCUCCAUAUUUGCUUUUGCCUCAUUUAGGGUUACAUGUCUAUUUAUUUCUCCUUUUUAGCCAAGCAAGUCUUUAGGCAAAGAUUAAGUGAAAUGAUACAAAUGACCAGUUUGUAUAUUAUGUGUACAAUAAUAAAGAAGGUAACAUGUAAGUCAUGUCAUAUCUGUUCUGUUUAUUUUUUGAUGUCCCCUUGCUAUGUCCAUUAUGCGAUUGUGUGUUAUCAGGUUUUUAAAUCAUUUGUAAAAUGACAGUUACUCCUUGAAGCAAAUAUAAUUGUAAAAAUGUCAAAGCUUUGUACUCCAAAUACAAAUGUUUCAGAAACAACUUUUUGGAGUUUUUAUCUGCUGUACUCGACAAGUGUAUGCUUUUUUUUAACUAAUAAAUGAUAGUUUUCCUAGUGAGCCAUUCGUGUCUGGUGUUCUUUUCUUUAAUGGGGUUAUGUGCCAUUUCACAUCCCUUCUUACAGUUAAGCUGACGUAACAGAAUGUUCAGUAGGUCAGCUGCUGAUAUAAUACAGUUAUAAAAUCAAGUAUUUACUCCAAAG
rnacentral:lncRNA from 1 species